ensembl:lncRNA
GUGAUUAUCUACGGUAGUCUGUACAUUUCCUCUCAGACUAUGUUGGGGGGGUGCAAGGAUAGAUGAUUCGUUUUAGGUGUUAAGCGUCAUCCAACAUGGGGCAUCGGUCAGAAUGCCAGGUAGAGGAAUGAUGAGGAGACGAUGGGCUUGGUUAUCGAAUUGUAUUCUUAGAGAAGCUGAGACUGUGCAGAUAACGGUGGCUGAUGAAGUGGCUGAUGAAGUCAUCAACAGUACCAUGAGCAUCUGUCUGGAGGGGUCUGAAGAGAAACCUCUGGGUAAGUACAGAAAAUGAGAAGAUUGUGAGAUGAAAAUAACACAUUUAGUCAAUAUUAAAGCUUAACAUGAGCCCUUAUCUGUCUGAAUUCAUUCACGAUCAUCUAGUGAGCUCCAACCCUGACACAGGUAAAGUCAUCAGAGAGCUCCUGGACAUCCUAUUUGAUGAUGCCCUGUCAGCGAGUCUCUAGCUUCUGGGUGAGUAAAAGAAAUAAACAUAUUACAAUGAUAAUGAAAGAGCUGGGAAACUGACCGUAUUCAUUUAUAUUAAGGCAGAAAAUGAGCUUAUGGACACCAACCUGGGUAAGUAAAGGAAAUCACCAGAGAGUGAGAUGAUAACACAUUUAGUGAGUAUAAAAGCUUUAAUCUAAAUUCCUUCAAGAUCAUCUAGUGAGCUCCAACAAAGAUGCAGCUGAUGCCAUCAGAGAGCUCCUGGAGAUCAUGCUUCAUGAUGUUUUGUCAGCGAGUUUCCAGCCUCUGGGUGAGUGGAAGACACAAAAUAACAUAUUUGAAAUAUUGAAAAAUGACAAACUGGAAAACCAACUAAUGAAAGCAGAAAAUGAGACACUGAUGAAUGAUGGAUGAUGAAGCUCAGUCAGAAGCUAUUGAUGAGCUGAUUUUACCAUUAAUCUGCCUUAAUUAAUACAAAUUCUGCUCGCUGUAUUGUAAAAGAAGACGAUCAGGUGCUGAAGAUGACAGUGAAGCCAAUGACGAGCAAACGCACCCUGACCUGGAGAAGUCAGAGCCCACCAAUAUCCAUCCUUUGGCAGGAGAUGAGUGGCCGAAGCUGAAGGACCAUGUAGCUGAGGAACAUCUGGACCUCACAGAGGCUUCAGACAGUGAUGACCAGCCUCUGGACAUAAAGAAAAGCCACCCUCCUGAGGAAGAAGACACCAACAAGAGAAAAACUAGGAGAGGAACAAGAGGAAAAGGGCGGAAAAUCAUCUAUAAUAAAGAAAAACAUCCAAAUGACAAACUAGAUGGACAGAGAGGUUCAAGAGGUUCUUCUGGACAGACAAACAACGUAAAGAACUGCGGUCAUGAAAACAGGGAGAUGGUCCGUCCCAAACGGGUGCAGUUAGAGUGAGAUGGUGAAUCUGAUGAUGUCCUACAUACGUUCACAGUCUGGAAGACAGGAUGGACUGAGAGAACAGCAACAGAAGGACUCCACUGGUGGCAGGACUACAUAAAGAACCGUGGUGUUGAUCACAGUUGGGCGCAGGAAGAGAUGGGUGACGGAUAUGAUGCAGUGCAGUUCAACCUCACAUACUGGAGGACAGGAUUUUUUCUGAAUGGCACAAAUGAACAUCUAAGACCGGGGAGAUGGACAGAGAGAGAGAGAGACAAAGAACCAGAGAGAGACAGAGAACCCAAGAGAGACAGAGAACCUGAAGAAAAAAUUAUGCACUCACACAAAUACAAUCACACACACCACUGACACACACACACACCACUGACACACACCCACACACCACCAACACACACUCUCUCACACACACAUACACACACACCACCAACACACACUCUCUCACACACACACAAAUUUUCUAAGCUGCUCAUCCUUCAGGUUACAGGGGAUGCUAGAGUCUAUCUCAGUGCUCACUGGGCAAAAAGCAGGCAGCAGCUUGGACAGAUCACCAGUCCAUCACAGCAGACCAGAAUCUCUAAAUAAUUAAACAGGAAAAAAUCUAAACGUUUCAUUUUUUGUUAACAUUUUUUAUUUUAUUUUAUUAUUAUUAAAAAGUAAUAUCUAUAAUAUGGAAACAUGGAACAUCAGAGAUGUAUUCACAUAAAACCUCAAAAUUAAGAUAAGAGCAAAAGCUCUAUGCUAAAUGAUUAGAAGAUGAAGAAAUGAGGCAUGACAGCAGUGCACUGUGACUGAGUGUAUGAGCUGCAUUAUGGGUGGAGCUGUGUAUCUCAGCAGAGAGCUACACUGAUCCCAUUCAGCUCUGACUGCUCUCAGUCACUUCACAUCUCUAUCAACAUGCUGCUCUCUAUCCUUUUUCUCCUAGCACUGCUUUUAGGUAAGAGAACAUUUAUGGCACUUCUUUCUAACUGUUUUGAGAUAAUAAACGAUCUGUAUAGUAAUACAUUUAAAUU